CUUUAACAAUCCGGAACAAGCUGAAAAUUGAAACGACAUGUCGUUUUCAUUCUCCGUAAUAAGAAUGAAAUUAACGAUAUGUUCGAGUCUCUCAAAUGCUUACAACAGCACGUGUCUUUCGGGACGCUUGUG
rfam:Erwinia billingiae strain Eb661 complete chromosome.